rnacentral:rRNA from 1 species
CCUACGGGAGGCAGCAGUGAGGAAUAUUGGUCAAUGGACGAAAGUCUGAACCAGCCAUGCCGCGUGAAGGAAGACGGCCCUAUGAGUUGUAAACUGCUUUUGUACGAGGGUAAAUCCCGAUACGUGUAUCGGGUUGAAAGUAUCGUACGAAUAAGGAUCGGCUAACUCCGUGCCAGCAGCCGCGGUAAGACGGAGGAUUCAAGCGUUAUCCGGAUUUAUUGGGUUUAAAGGGUGCGUAGGCGGUUCGUUAAGUUAGAGGUGAAAUCUCGGGGCUCAACCGCGGCACUGCCGCUGAUACUGGCAGGCUAGAGUAUAGUAGAGGUAGGCGGAAUGUAUGGUGUAGCGGUGAAAUGCAUAGAUAUCAUGCAGAACACCGAUUGCGAAGGCAGCUUACCAAACUACGACUGACGUUGAGGCACGAAAGUGUGGGUAGCAAACAGGAUUAGAUACCCGGGUAGUC